CAGUUGGAGAAGACGGGAGCUGCUGGAC
rnacentral:piRNA from 1 species